rnacentral:RNase_P_RNA from 1 species
AGUAAGACAGGCGGUCGCGCGGCAAAGCCGAAAGGCUUGCUGUGAGGAAAGUCCGGGCUCCACAGGGCAAGGAUAACGGGUAACGCCCGCCCAGAGCGAUCUGAGGAAAAGUGCAACAGAAAUAGACUACCCGUAGCAAUAUGGGAAAAGGUGGAAAGGUGCGGUAAGAGCGCACCCGUCGGCUCGAGAGUGUCCGAUGCUGUAAACUCUAUCCGGAGCAACACCGGUAUGGGAGCAUAUAGGUUGGCCCGACCGCUCCCGGGGUGGCUGGAGUACCGCGGCAACGCGGCGCGUAGAUAGAUGACUGUCAAAUACAGAACCCGGCUUACAGUCAUGCUCG